AGAGCGAACGCUGGCGGCGUGCUUAACACAUGCAAGUCGAACGCGCAGCAUUCUGUAGCAAUACAGGGUGUGGGCGCGUGGCGAACGGGUGCGUAACACGUGGAUAACCUUCCUUGAGGUGGGGAAUAACCCAGUGAAAAUUGGGCUAAUACCGCAUAACAUCGCGAUGGCACAUGCUGAUGCGAUCAAAGGCGCAAGUCGCCACAAGAGGGAUCCGCGGCCGAUUAGCUUGUUGGCGAGGUAAUGGCUCACCAAGGCAAUGAUCGGUAGCCGGACUGAGAGGUUGGCCGGCCACACUGGAACUGAGACACGGUCCAGACUCCUACGGGAGGCAGCAGUGGGGAAUCUUGCGCAAUGGGGGAAACCCUGACGCAGCAACGCCGCGUGGAGGAUGAAGCCCCUUGGGGCGUAAACUCCUUCGACCAAGACGAUAAUGACGGUACUGGUGGAAGAAGCACCGGCUAACUCUGCGCCAGCAGCCG
rnacentral:rRNA from 1 species